rnacentral:rRNA from 1 species
GAUGAACGCUGGCGGCGUGCCUAAUACAUGCAAGUCGAGCGAACGGACGAGAAGCUUGCUUCUCUGAUGUUAGCGGCGGACGGGUGAGUAACACGUGGAUAACCUACCUAUAAGACUGGGAUAACUUCGGGAAACCGGAGCUAAUACCGGAUGAUAUUUUGAACCGCAUGGUUCAAAAGUGAAAGACGGUCUUGCUGUCACUUAUAGAUGGAUCCGCGCUGCAUUAGCUAGUUGGUAAGGUAACGGCUUACCAAGGCAGCGAUGCAUAGCCGACCUGAGAGGGUGAUCGGCCACACUGGAGCUGAGACAGGGUCCAGACUCCUACGGGAGGCAGCAGUAGGGAAUCUUCCGCAAUGGGCGAAAGCCUGACGGAGCAGCGCCGCGUGAGUGAUGAAGGUCUUCGGAUCGUGAAACUCUGUUAUUAGGGAAGAACAUAUGUGUAAGUAACUGUGCACAUCUUGACGGUACCUAAUCAGAAAGCCACGGCUAACUACGUG